GCAGGCAUAGUUUAGCCCAAACAUUAGACUGUGAUUCUAAAAAUAGAAGUUAGACCCUUCUUGCCUACC
rnacentral:tRNA from 1 species